UAUACAUGAUAAACUUAUCUAAUAAGUAUGAAUCAUAAUCUCUGUGAAAGCCAAAUAUAAAUUCUAAAGGACUAUAUAAUAUGCCAUGGCAUUAUUUUCUACUAUUGUAAUGCUUCUCUAGGAAGUAAUUUGACGUCAUACCAGUUUGACAUCUUCCCUUCAAAUACUUCAUAUACUGUCUGCAACAAAAUACAUCUUGCUUGGAGUGAUAUUAGAAAAGUAUACAGCUGAAUGGUUUGAUUUCAUAUUUGUUAAGUUAGAGUCAAAAUAAGAGGCCACUAAAUUCAAAAGAGUUUUAAAAUUUUAAAGAGUAAGAAGAUAGUUGAUAUGAGUAUCUGGAGAAUUCAAAACAGUGAGCCAGCUAUUGAGAGAAGCUGGAGAAUAUUUAAAGUCCCAUUAUACUUACUUUACAUGCUGUCAUCAAAAAAUUUACUUUGUUUUUAAAAAAAUUGUUCCAUGGCUUGCUUUUGCAUAAUUAAAAACCAUGAGACAAUAUUUAUUUUAUUUGUUUUUGUGAGAAAUUGUGUUUAUUCAUUAUGUGUUUGCUAUAGUUAAUUAAACUCACUCAUCACCCUUGUAGAGUCAACCAGUCUGUGACUUCACUGAUCUUGCUAUAAUCAACAAUCACCAAUACAAAAGCAGUGUAGAUUUUCUAGAAAUCAGCAUAAGCAUUUGUGAGACGUUUCUUUCUUGCAUCAGCUGUGGAAAAUUUUAUUUGUAAAAUACAAAUGAAUUCUCAACCUUUCAUCUCCAUUUUGUUAUGAAGUUCAUUGUCUAGUAAAUUAUCUGGGUUUAGAGCCUGGCCCACAGUUUACCCUAUGACCAUGGGAAAGCCUCCUUUUUCUGUUUCCUCAUCAGUAAAUGGACACCCCUGUCCCGGCAUUUCUUCCCUUCAUGUGAGAUGACUUAUUUUUCCUUUUCUUUUCUUUUUUUUUUUUGAGACACGGUCUCCCUUUGUUGUCCAGGCUGGAGUGCAGUGGCAUGAUCAUAGCUCACCGCCACCUUGAAUUCCUGGUCUCAUGGAUCCUCCCAUCUCAGCCUUCUGAGUAGCUGGGACUACAGGCAUGUGCCACCAUGCCCAGGUAAGUUUUUAAUAUUUUUUGUAGAGACAGGGCGUUGGCCAUCUUGCCCAGGCUGGUUCCGAUUUUACAAAUGAUAACAUACUGUUUUAUAAGUGGUUAAAAAAUUCAGAAUUGAGAAGCUGAAAACUCGUCUUCAAACUCAGAAAAAAAAUUAAGAUAUCAGCAGGACACUUUUUACUUUAAAAAUGUGUUUAGUCAAGGGAGUAGUUAUUGUUAAAUACAUGUUGUAGUAUUUGUAAAUUGACAGCUAAAGUUUCCAAACUUGCCUGAUCAUGAAGUUCUUCUGAGAAACUCUUUAAAAUAGACGUUCAGAGCCCCUCCCCUGGAGAGGCUGAUGCAUCUGGGUGGGGGAAGAAAUUCAUAUGUCUAACUGUUUCCCCAGGUGGUUCUUAUGA
rnacentral:lncRNA from 1 species